AGGUCACUGCGACCCCGGGAGGCAGUGCUCAGGGACUCCCCAUGCCGUCUGGCUCUCUCCCCAAACUCUACCCGACUCCCACCCUCAACUCAGCUCCCCCUCCGUUUCCCAAAGCAGAGACUGAAUCACCUCUACCGGUCCUCGCUGGGAAAGGCCUGGAGACCGGAUUCGGGGUUUCCGGAGAGCCCCCAAGGUCCCCUGCCUGAGCCCCUCCCCGGCCCACAGCAGCCUGAGCAUUUAUGCUGUGGACGCUCUAGCUUCUGGCAUCUCAGAGAAACGGAGAAGCCCGUCUUAGACACCCUCCACCUCCUGCUCCUUCACCCUGUGCUGCCAUCAUUGUGCUUCCUCCUGCCUCCAGUCCCCUCUGAAGCCUCUCCAAGGACUUGACCUCUUUGGUUUGGAAUCCUAGCGGGCCCCACUCAAUGAAGCCUUCUUGAGGUUGUCUGCCCCCUGACCUCUACCACCUACUCCCUGGCAGCCCAGAUCACCCUGAGCUACUGGCUUCCCUAAAGGACAGUCUCUGUGCUAGUUUGGUGGGGACGUGUGGGACACAGAAGUCACCCUGAGCUCUGUCCUCACUUCCCUUUCACCGCAGAGGCAGCUCCACCACCCCCUCCUAGCUUCACUCUUCUCACAACGGAAGGAUUCUGACUGACCGUCCUUGGUGGUUAGCUGGCUUUGCUCUCAGGCUGGAGAGAGGAGAAUGAUUAGUUAAUGGUGUUAAGAGAAGGGAAGGGGGGUGG
rnacentral:lncRNA from 1 species